rnacentral:rRNA from 1 species
CCUACGGGAGGCAGCAGUGGGGAAUAUUGGGCAAUGGGCGCAAGCCUGACCCAGCAACGCCGCGUGAGGGAAGAAGGCUUUCGGGUUGUAAACUUCUUUUCUCAGGGACGAAGCAAGUGACGGUCCCUGAAGAAUACGCCACGGCUCACUACGUGCCAGCCGCCGCGGUAAUACGUAGGUGGCAAGCGUUAUCCGGAUUUACUGGGUGUAAAGGGCGUGUAGGCGGGGCUGCAAGUCAGAUGUGAAAACCACGGGCUCAACCUGUGGCCUGCCUUUGAAACUGUAGUUCUUGAGUACUGGAGAGGCAGACGGAAUGCGCAGUGUAGCGGUGAAAUGCGUAGAUAUUAGGAGGAACACCAGUGGCGAAGGCGGUCUGCUGGACAGCAACUGACGCUGAGGCGCGAAAGCGUGGGGAGCAAACAGGAUUAGAUACCCUAGUAGUC